rnacentral:rRNA from 1 species
GGCGGCCAUAGCGCGGUGGCACCACCUGAACCCAUGCCGAACUCAGAAGUGAAACGCCGUAGCGCCGAUGGUAGUGUGGGGUCUCCCCAUGCGAGAGUAGGACACUGCCAGGC